AUUGAACGCUGGCGGCAUGCCUUACACAUGCAAGUCGAACGGCAGCACGGGAGCUUGCUCCUGGUGGCGAGUGGCGAACGGGUGAGUAAUACAUCGGAACGUACCCUGAAGUGGGGGAUAACGUAGCGAAAGUUACGCUAAUACCGCAUAUUCUGUGAGCAGGAAAGAGGGGGAUCGCAAGACCUCUUGCUUUAGGAGCGGCCGAUGUCGGAUUAGCUAGUUGGUGAGGUAAAGGCUCACCAAGGCGACGAUCCGUAGCGGGUCUGAGAGGAUGAUCCGCCACACUGGGACUGAGACACGGCCCAGACUCCUACGGGAGGCAGCAGUGGGGAAUUUUGGACAAUGGGCGCAAGCCUGAUCCAGCCAUGCCGCGUGAGUGAAGAAGGCCUCGGUUGUAAGACUCUUCGUGGGAGAA
rnacentral:rRNA from 1 species